rnacentral:pre_miRNA from 1 species
AGUGGGAGGCGGGAUCCUGGGCUGUGUCCCGGCGCCCUGUGCUCCGGGGCCUGCGCUGGUGGAUUCGCGCUCCCGGGCCGCGCAACCCCCU